rnacentral:rRNA from 1 species
CGGGAGGCAGCAGUGGGGAAUUUUGGACAAUGGGGGAAACCCUGAUCCAGCAAUGCCGCGUGUGUGAAGAAGGCCUUCGGGUUGUAAAGCACUUUUGUCCGGAAAGAAAGCCUCCUGGUUAAUACCUGGGGGGGAUGACGGUACCGGAAGAAUAAGCACCGGCUAACUACGUGCCAGCAGCCGCGGUAAUACGUAGGGUGCAAGCGUUAAUCGGAAUUACUGGGCGUAAAGCGUGCGCAGGCGGUUCGCUAAGACAGAUGUGAAAUCCCCGGGCUUAACCUGGGAACUGCAUUUGUGACUGGCGGGCUAGAGUAUGGCAGAGGGGGGUAGAAUUCCACGUGUAGCAGUGAAAUGCGUAGAGAUGUGGAGGAAUACCGAUGGCGAAGGCAGCCCCCUGGGCCAAUACUGACGCUCAUGCACGAAAGCGUGGGGAGCAAACAGGAUUAGAUACCCUGGUAGUCCACGCCCUAAACGAUGUCAACUAGUUGUCGGGUCUUCAUUGACUUGGUAACGUAGCUAACGCGUGAAGUUGACCGCCUGGGGAGUACGGUCGCAAGAUUAAAACUCAAAGGAAUUGACGGGGACCCGCACAAGCGGUGGAUGAUGUGGAUUAAUUCGAUGCAACGCGAAAAACCUUACCUACCCUUGACAUGUAUGGAAGUCUGCCGAGAGGUGGAUGUGCCCGAAAGGGAGCCAUAACACAGGUGCUGCA